AUUUACUAAAGAAGUAGGCUGGAUGUUGAAAUUAAAAGCAGAAAAGAUUGGGAUAAACCUGAUUUAAUUAAUCAAUUAAACAACAUUUUUAAAGGCAGAAUUUGAAAGAUGCACUAUGUGAUGCCUAAACAAUAAAUCGGAGAAAAACAGUUACAAAUAAAUGAAAUAGACAAAAAAUUUGGACUUGGUAUAAUCUUAGAAACGUAAAAUAAUUUGAUUAGUUUUU